CAUCUGUGAUUAUCCUAUUCUGAACCUGAAUUUAUACUAGAAAAAACUUAUAUGAAUCUGGCUUCUGAGAU
rnacentral:snoRNA from 2 species